GUAAGAAAUCGGUCUGCAAGGUGUGAAGAAAAGGAGAAGCUUGAAUCUGUAAAUCAAGGAAAAUUUGGGUAUAGCAAGAAGGAAGAUCUGGAAUUACCAUUGUUUUUUAUUUGUCUGCUUAUUUUUGAAGAGAAGGAGAGGCUGAAAGUUGUUAUUGAACAGAUCACGAGCUGUA